rnacentral:rRNA from 1 species
UUUCCCUACGGGGGGCAGCAGUGGGGAAUAUUGGGCAAUGGAGGCAACUCUGACCCAGCAACGCCGCGUGAAUGAUGAAGGUCUUCGGAUUGUAAAGUUCUUUUCUAAGGGAAGAAGAAAGUGACGGUACCUUAGGAAUAAGCCUCGGCUAACUACGUGCCAGCAGCCGCGGUAAUACGUAGGAGGCAAGCGUUAUCCGGAUCUACUGGGUGUAAAGGGAGCGUAGACGGCAGCGCAAGUCUGAAGUGAAAUGCCGGGGCUUAACCCCGGAACUGCUUUGGAAACUG